rnacentral:rRNA from 1 species
AACACGUGUGCAACCUGCCUUUAUCUGGGGGAUAGCCUUUCGAACGGAAGAUUAAUACCCCAUAAUAUAUUGAAUGGCAUCAUUUGAUAUUGAAAACUCCGGUGGAUAGAGAUGGGCACGCGCAAGAUUAGAUAGUUGGUGAGGUAACGGCUCACCAAGUCAGCGAUCUUUAGGGGGCCUGAGAGGGUGAUCCCCCACACUGGUACUGAGACACGGACCAGACUCCUACGGGAGGCAGCAGUGAGGAAUAUUGGACAAUGGGUGAGAGCCUGAUCCAGCCAUCCCGCGUGAAGGACGACGGCCCUAUGGGUUGUAAACUUCUUUUGUAUAGGGAUAAACCUACCCUCGUGAGGGUAGCUGAAGGUACUAUACGAAUAAGCACCGGCUAACUCCGUGCCAGCAGCCGCGGUAAUACGGAGGGUGCAAGCGUUAUCCGGAUUUAUUGGGUUUAAAGGGUCCGUAGGCUGAUUUGUAAGUCAGUGGUGAAAUCUCACAGCUUAACUGUGAAACUGCCAUUGAUACUGCAAGUCUUGAGUGUUGUUGAAGUAGCUGGAAUAAGUAGUGUAGCGGUGAAAUGCAUAGAUAUUACUUAGAACACCAAUUGCGAAGGCAGGUUACUAAGCAACAACUGACGCUGAUGGACGAAAGCGUGGGGAGCGAACAGGAUUAGAUACCCUGGUAGUCCACGCCGUAAACGAUGCUAACUCGUUUUUGGGCUUUUGGGUUCAGAGACUAAGCGAAAGUGAUAAGUUAGCCACCUGGGGAGUACGAACGCAAGUUUGAAACUCAAAGGAAUUGACGGGGGCCCGCACAAGCGGUGGAUUAUGUGGUUUAAUUCGAUGAUACGCGAGGAACCUUACCAAGGCUUAAAUGGGAAAUGACAGGCUUAGAAAUAGGCUUUUCUUCGGACAUUUUUCAAGGUGCUGCAUGGUUGUCGUCAGCUCGUGCCGUGAGGUGUUAGGUUAAGUCCUGCAACGAGCGCAACCCCUGUCACUAGUUGCCAUCAUUAAGUUGGGGACUCUAGUGAGACUGCCUACGCAAGUAGAGAGGAAGGUGGGGAUGACGUCAAAUCAUCACGGCCCUUACGCCUUGGGCCACACACGUAAUACAAUGGCCGGUACAGAGGGCAG